AGUGAACGCUGGCGGUAGGCCUAACACAUGCAAGUCGAACGGCAGCACAGUAAGAGCUUGCUCUUACGGGUGGCGAGUGGCGGACGGGUGAGGAAUACAUCGGAAUCUACUUUUUCGUGGGGGAUAACGUAGGGAAACUUACGCUAAUACCGCAUACGACCUACGGGUGAAAGCAGGGGAUCUUCGGACCUUGCGCGAUUGAAUGAGCCGAUGUCGGAUUAGCUAGUUGGCGGGGUAAAGGCCCACCAAGGCGACGAUCCGUAGCUGGUCUGAGAGGAUGAUCGGCCACACUGGAACUGAGACCCGGUCCAGACUCCUACGGGAGGCAGCAGUGGGGAAUAUUGGACAAUGGACGCAAGCCUGAUCCAGCCAUACCGAGUGGGUGAAGAAGGCCUUCGGGUUGUAAAGCCCUUUUGUUGGGAAAGAAAAGCAGCAGGUUAAUACCCCGCUGUUCUGACGGUACCCAAAGAAUAAGCACCGGCUAACUUCGUG
rnacentral:rRNA from 1 species